rnacentral:rRNA from 1 species
UACGGAGGGAGCUAGCGUUGUUCGGAAUUACUGGGCGUAAAGCGCGCGUAGGCGGCUUUGUAAGUUAGAGGUGAAAGCCCGGAGCUCAACUCCGGAACUGCCUUUAAAACUGCAUCGCUUGAAUCCAGGAGAGGUGAGUGGAAUUCCGAGUGUAGAGGUGAAAUUCGUAGAUAUUCGGAGGAACACCAGAAGCGAAGGCGGCCAACUGGCCCGAUACUGACGCUGAGGCGCGAAAGCGUGGGGAGCAAACAGG